rnacentral:lncRNA from 1 species
AGGAGAAUUUUUUUGAAUGGGGAUUACUUUUAACUCUGUUUGGAUGGAGUAUUAAAUAAGAAAAAUAACUUUUAACUUUUAUUUGCUACUUUUUAGAAAUGGGGAGGUGAAUAAGGGUAGGAUAAGGGAAAAAGGUGUCAAAAUGAAUUUUUGCCCUUAUCUAAGUUCUAUUGAUAUCUAUUAAAUAACCACUCUUACUUAAGUAUUUUCAAAAUAUUAUAAGUUUUAUCAAUUAAAAAGUGUACCACCAUGGUUGGUUUCAUUAACAUCUUCACAUGCCCUCAAACAAAAUAUACAGCAACAUAAUAAAAUAAAAUAAAAUAAAAUUAAAUAAAAUAUUUUAACAAAAAAAACUUUGACAAGGUUUACUCUUAUUUUAUUUUUGUGUAAAAAAAACUCAAAACAUGACUCAUUGAUUUAAUUGGUGCUAAUCCUACCUGAUCAAAAAAUACUUUGAGAGAACGUAUAGAAUGGAAAUCAAACUCCAGUUUUUUUCCCGGGAACCUUGCUCUAUCACGGGUUUAUUUGCAUCCUUUCCGACCCUUUUUCAUCUCCUUAACCCCUUCUGACCGCAACCUUUAGGUUCUUCAACUUCUCUUUUCUGCCCUACCUUUCCCCCCCCCAUCGUUUAUAGAAGUAGAAGCUUGGAGUCUCGGUUAUAUCAAUCUCUCUCUCCAUCGAUUACUCCUCCCGGCCGAGGUAUCUCUCCUAGCCGGUCACUUUCCCUCUGCUCGUCGAUCACUCUCUCUUCGCCCUCUCUGCGAUCAAGUCCUCUCUCUCGCUCUCUCACACGCCACACGGGGGGGGGGGGGGGGGGGGGGGUAGAAGCUGAAGAUGCUGAUGGGGUAGCGAUUUGCCGGUCGGACUUGGACGGGAUUUUGCAGGUACUAAUUAUAGUAAUGGUACAAGCCAUAUCAUUGUGAGAUACAAGAACAUAGAGAAAAAAGGAGGCUAGGGUUUCAUAGAAUUUAUGAAUAAUACAAGAAAGAUAAAAAGAGUUUAAAUACCCUAAUAACAAAGGUAAAAAUACUAUUUACCCUUACUUCUAAUAACAAAAUAAAUAACAUUAAAUAUAAUCUAACGGCCCCUCAAAUCCGGAUGCAGUCGUAACAAGUAUCGAAGAGUUUGUCAACCAAAAAAAGAAAGCGAGGAGCGGAUGGGGACUUGGUAAACAAAUCAACAAGCUGCCCAUAGAUGAAGAGACAAAAGGCAAACUAAUGGUGAUGCUGCAACAUGAUGACGAGUAGGAUGUAAUCCAAUCUCGAUAUGGUUGGUCGCUCAUGAAAACCAAAAAUUAUGGGCAUAUGGAUAACACUUGAUUGUCUAAAACAUAGGCGUGGGAGAAGAAACAGAAACAACCCAUGUAAGCAGUAACCACUGUAACCAAACUAUCUUGUUGUAGUGAGAGGCCAUAGCACGAUACUCAACUUCAUGUUGAAGAUUUGAAACACAGACUGCUUCUACUCUUCCAAGAAAUAAGGCAUCACCCAAAAAGAUGACAGAAUCAGUAGUAGAUUUGCGUAAUAGGAACAACUAGCCCAAUCAGCAUCAGAAUAUCAUGCAAUUGUAAGAUGAAAGUAGGAAGGUAGUAAAGAUUUGAAAUUGAGUACCAGUAGGUACCUCAACAAUCCUCAAGGACGACAGUCCAAUGAAUAGUAGUUGGAACGUAAAAAAACUGAUAACAAUAGAAAAGCAUAUACAAGGUCUUUUUUUUUUUGAGCGAGAAUCGUGAGAUAGACCAACUUCCAAACAAUAGUACGAUCUAAAGAAGGAAUCGGGUAAAGGAGUACCAUCAGUCGGAGAAUACGAACAUUAGUUCAAGAGAAGUCGGGACAAUCUUAGUAUCAGUAGACGAGCACGCUCAAGAAUGUCUGUAAUGUACUUAAACUGUAAAAGUAGAUAACCCUUAGGUGCAAAGGCUACUUCUAUACCCAAAAAAUAACGUAAAGUCUUCAAAUCCUUCAUUUCAAUCGAGAAGGCCAAUUCUAAUUUCAAUGAUCAAUUCCAAGCCCAUAAUCACUUGAAUCACCAUGGUCACAACAAAAUGAAAGAAGAAUACGACCCGCCAAGUAGUGACUUUUAUUAAAAGAACAGAAUCAUGAUUGCUGGAUCAAAAACCAAGAGAGGUAAUCACAGUAGAGAAUUUUUCAAACCAAGCACGGGGUGCCCUGCUUGAAAACCAUAUAAAGCCUUUUUAAGUUACAAAACUUCCCAGAAUUGUGGGCAACACCAGGUGGGGACUCAUAUAAAAUUCUUCUUAAAGAUCGCAAUUCAGAAGGAUUCUUAACAUCACAUUGAGAAAUAUGCACUGAUGAAUAGAUGCAACAUGCAAUAAGAGUACGAAUAGUAGUCAUUUGCAACUGGAGAAAAAGUUCUCUUCAUAAUCCAACCAUACUGUUGGGAAAAACCUUUUGGCGAUCAAACGAGGUCAUUGUAGUGCUCAUGAACCAUCAGCCAGGGUUUUGAUUUUGUGACCCACCGAAAAAUAAUUUUACUCUUACCAGAUUGGUAAAGGUACCAAAUCCCAAGUACCAGUGUUAUGCAAAGCAAAAAGUUCCGUCAUAGCAUGCUGCCAAGGAAAUCAAGACGCCUCAUUAUACGAUAGAGGCUCAGAAAACAUUGUGAAUAGUGGAUAGAAAGAGCAAAAGAACUAGAAUACAAGAAUAAGGAAAAAUCUGCAAAAUAGUAGACUUUACGAAGCGCUUAGGAUAGAAGAAAGAGAAUCAAAGUCUCAGAAGUUACUUGGGUAGCCAGAGGCUGAGGAGGAUUCAUAUCUCCGAUGUGUUGGGUGGUAGAGGCUGCGCGGAUGUGAUCGGCGCAUCAGAUAAGGAAAUACCAAUGUUGUAGGGGGAUGGAGGAUGGGGAACACUGUAUCUGAUUCUCAGAAAAAGGGUCAAUGCGAAUGAGAUUAAGAUUAGUCAAAGUUAUGAGUACUAUCAGAAUAGAGAAGAAAGGUAAUAUGCUCAAGGACAAACAAAAUGGACGGGACACAUAUAAGUUAUGGAGUAAUUUAGGAUCAAAACACGAUUCCUUUUGACCCUCAACCAUAUCAAAGAAAACACAAAGGCAGACGAGAAGACAACUUACUACGUUCUACACGAGGACGAAGCACCAAAUAAGCACAACCAAAGACUAUUAAGAAGAAUAAGCGGGAGGACGACAUUGCAAUUUUUCAAAAAGGAGACAUGCCUGAAAUAUGAGAUGAUGGGAUCAUAGAAUGACCCGAGCAGCAGUGAGAACUGUCUCGCACCAGGAAAGACUAAGAACCAAAGGCAGACAGUAGAGAGAUCCCGGGCAGUUUCAAACAAAUGCCUAUGUUUUCCUUGCAGGCCACACCAUUUGCUCUGGAGUAUCAGUACGAGGAUUGAUGACAGUUUCCAUCUAACGCAAGCAACUCAGAAAAUCAUUAGAAGUAUAUUCACCCCAAAUCAUACCGAAACAUUUGAAAAAGCAGAAUGUUGUGUUUUCACGAUGCACCGAAAGAUUUAUAAAUAUCCAAAAUCAGAACGAUUUUCAUGAAGAAAACCAACAAUAAUGCGUGGAAUCAUCAAUAAAAGAAACAUAAAUAAUGCGAUCGACUUUUGGUAGCAAUACGACAACGGUCCCCACACAUCAGAAUGAACAAAAUCAAAAGGUGCAAUAAGAAUAGAGAUUACUUCUAUUAAAAGUAGGGCAAAAAUGUGUAUUUACAACCACUGCAAGUAGAAAUAUCAGGUGCGGACGAAUUACCUAAGGCUCCGGUAGAGGCUAAAUACUUUAAAGAGAAGACGAGAAAUGACCUAGAUGAGAAUUUCAUAAAUAAAAACUAGAAGAAGAGGACUCCAAACGAAAAGUGACAAAUCGACCCAGUAGCAGCAACUGCAGGUCCCCUCAGUUGGUCCAAGAUAUAUAUCCUCCUGCCUAUGGGCUGUCCCAAUCAGCUUCUGGGUUUGCGGUCCUGCCACCUGAUAAGAAGUGAAGAAAAGAAACCAAAUAACAAAGUUACACAAUUGAUAACAGAAAUAAGAUUUAAGGAAAGACUUAUGCUGGAUACACGUUAGAAAGAGAGAUAUUAGUUGCAAUUAAGACCAACACCCAUUAAUGGCAUAGGGAUGCCACAGCAGUCAUGACAGAACGGUGAUGCAGGGACAAUGAAGUAAAAACAGAAGAGUCUGGUGACAUGUGAGAGAGGCGCCAGAGUACAACCCACAAAGACGAAAAACAUACCUGAGGAACUAGGAAAAGACAAACGAAGAGGAUGAGGCAAACAUAGCAGAUGUUGAGUGUGCAAGAACUGCUGGAAUGCUCAGCAAGGCAGCACUUGUGGGAUGGGAAGACGGUGGAGCUCCAAAAUCAGAUAAGGGUGAUGGUGGGACAGUUGCUGCAGUAUUAGACUAGGGCGGCCUGUAUGCUCGUUGUUGGAACUGUGGCCAAACUCUUUGUUGCGACGGAUUCUGAGCCGAUUAAAGUAACAUGGGACUUGGAUCUUUCAGUGACCCUUGCGCUACAAAACUGCAUUCAUCAAAUCCAACCUUUGGCCUUGAUGGGAAACUAGAAGGUGGUCGGUUAGGCCCUUACAAAAAUAGAUAGAUCGGUGUGGAAGAAUGCCCUUGUGGAUGACUGAGACUAAGCAGAAUCUACCUUGUUAAAGAUCAUGACCACUGAAUCGACCGAAGGAAGUGGGUUGCGAUGCAAAAUUGAACCACGAAGACCCUCAAAAUCAUCACGAAGAGCCACAGAAAACUGCACCUCGUUGUCCUCUCUCCGAGCAAUGUAGGUGCAAACCCUUGUAAUUCAGCAGAUUCUGUAGUGCCAGUUGGUCCCAAAGAUAAGACAUUGCAAGAUAACAAUUCUUGAAUCCCAUAGUGUCUUAACAAGACUCGAAUAUCAGAUUCCACUGGUACUGUAACGUCCCGGCAAACCAAGACCUAGCCACGUAAGCAAAUAACUCACAUGCGAAACAGUCAAACUAAAAAUAUGGAUCAAUUAUACUUGCAUUACAUCAGAGUACGUAAAUCAUUUCUGAAACCAUGCUCUCCAUGAUCUUUCUUGAGUACAAAAUUAAGAUAUAAUAAUCCAUGAAAAAACAUACUGAAUUUUAUUUAAACGAAAAUUAUCUCACCGUUAGAUUCCACGUCUCGAUCUUUCUAUGAUCAUAGGCUAAUUACACCAUAAAAUUUCUCUUUUCUCUUUAGAUAUAUAAUAAUGUGGAUUUUUUCUUUAUAUAACCGUUCGUCUCUUUCUCUUUAAUGUUAUAGUAUUUUAUUUAUAAAAAAUUAAAUAUUAAGUUAACAUAAGUUGUGCAGACACAAUCAUCCAUUUAUUAAAUAAAAUACAAUCUAACCCCCUCUAACUUAAAUGUCUUUUUUUCUUAUCUCAAAAGGUGUACAUGUUUUAAUUUAAACCCAAAAUUAUAAUUUAAUGAUUUAAAUAAAUUUAACAAUUCAAAAAAAACCGCAAAGCAUAACAUUUAGUUACUACAAUCUUAUCCAUCGGGCAAAUAAAUAUAUAAUUUGUCCAUGAAUAAAACAUUAAAAAAUAACAAACGGCAUCCACUGCCUUCACGAAUCAGGAUAAAUCUCGGUACCUGAAAUAAUUUUUUUAUAGUAAAGGUGAGUUACCUUGAAAAGAUUUAACAUUGGAAUUGAUGAUCAAGCCAAAAUCCAUGAUACCUAAUCAUACAAUGAAGACAGAUUUAAUAAAAUAUGCUUAUUGAUACCACAAAUAUACUUAUGUUUUCAAUCCGUGGGUUUCCAAUUCAAUCAAUUCUCAAUUCUCAGCUUUUCUCAAAAAGCAACAUUUAAUUCCUUUGAAUAACAUAUAAAAAUACAACAUCCAAGUUGUAAUUUCUUAAAUCAAACCAAGUUCUCAAAAUUCUGAGUUUCUCAGAAAAUAUUACUCCCAUAAUUUAGAAUGACAAACUUAGGCUAAUACAAUCCGGCUUACUUCUCGGACUUUCACCGAGGUUUGACAUACCCAAUAUCGGCCUACUUCUCGUACUUAACCGAAGUUUGACAUACCCAAUAUUCGGCCGACUUAUCGGCUUUUACCGAAGGUUUGAAUACCCAAUAUCUGGCCUACUUCUCGGACUUUCACGCAGGUGUGACUACCCAAUAUCCGGCCGCAUUUCUCGGUCACUAACCGAGGGUCGGACAUUCCCUCCGCGCGGUUGUUAUAUUUUGCCAUCUAGGACUUCAAUCAGGCUUAAUCGAAGCCAUCUAAUUCUGGUAUAUCUCUAAGUGUCAUUCUCAAAACCAUUUUCAAGAUCCAACAUACAUAAAAAUUUACACUUGCUAACUUUAAUGUAAAUAACAGAAAAUACAAAAUAUCAUAAUCAUUAAACACAAACCCAAUAUAAAAUCCCAAACAGUGAACAUUCGUUUAUCAUGUUGUUAUUAUAAAUCAAGUUUUUAUGUUUUAAGUUUAAUACUAAAUAAUGCUCAAUAGACUUGCUCUAAGUAUUAAACAACAACCCAAAGUAAAAACCCAACAAACUAACCUCCUUUACCUCAAUUACAUACAGCAAGCUCCAAAAUGAAGAAGAUGAGAUGAAUCCAAAAUAAUAAGAUCUUGUAUUAUGGCCUAGAUAUGAAAGCCCCGUUGAGUAGAUAAAUUUCCCCCCCCCCCCCCACAAUAAUCACCACUUGAAUCACACUCUACUCACCCCGAUCUAACACUCUAACACAAUUUUUUCUUUAGGGCUCAGACACACAGAGGGCAGAGACCGAAAUUCGUGAGAGAAGGAGAAGGAUUCGGUGAGAGAGAGAGAGAGAGUCGUAUAGAAAGAGAGAGAGAAGUGAUUAAAAAAAGAAAAGAGAAAAGAAAAGAAAACAUAAUGAUGAUGCUGGGAAUGGAUGUGUUGGGAAAGAAGCUGUUGGGAUAAAUUGGGUUUGGGGAAAUCAAACGGUAAUGGAUCAAACGGAGGAGCUCAGCUUUGUUUGGUUACACCAAAUUAAACCCAAUCUACAUAAGCCCAACAUCAAUUACAUAUAAGGCCAAUUUUCCAAUGUGUCCCAAUAAAAAAAAAAAAAAACUUAGGUCCACUAAUCCACAUGUGUCCUAAUUAAUUGUUAUAAAUUGGCAAUAAACAAAAAAUGGAAAACCUUACAGGUACUGCUUUACAAAAUUAGACUGUGUAUACAGCUCUCAGGUGAUCCCAAAUUACUUUGCUGUUUCAUACUUGCCAAAUUGUGUGCCGAUUGAGUGCUCAACAGAGUUGGUUGAUCCAAGUGAUGAUUUGGGAAUUAUUGACAUCCCAAAACUUCAAUCUCUGCAAAUGUUUCAUUAUCGAGAUCUGUAGGUUGGACCCAUGGUGCCAAACAUACCCCACCAUUUUUUUUCCUUUCCAAAAAAAGUCUUCAUAACAUAACUCACAAUACAUAAUUCUUUCCCAUCCCAAUCUCGUACUAAUCGCCUGAAGUGAAUCCUCCCGUUAAACAGCCAUUGCGUACAAAAAAAUAAUAAUAAUAGAAUCCAAUCAACUAGAGAUAUCGAUCUAAAAGAAAAAAAGAUGCGAAAACUGUAAAUGAAAUUACGAUAUAAAAAAAAAACAAUGGUACACGAAAAAAACAUUAGAUUAAACUGUGAAUGAGAUUAAACUGUAAAUGAGAUAAACUCCUUUCCAUGCAAUCAUAGGAUGCGAGGCCCUAUCAGGGAUCAAUGCUUUGAUACCAUGUGAGAAUACCAAGAUAUAGAGGAAAAGAGGCUAGGGUUCAUCGAAUUAGAUAAUAAUGACAAGAAAGAUAAAAAGAGUUAAUAACCCUAUAACAAAGGUAAUAAAUUAAUAUUCUACCCUGACUUCUAAUGAAACAAACAAAUAACAUAAAUAUAAUCUAACAUCUCCACCCUCAGAUUUCACAAAUAAUUAGGCUGUGUUUAGAUCCCAAAUGUGGUUUGAGAAAAUAAAAUAAAAAUAAAAAAAUUUUAAACGAUCCAAUCGUUCAGGACUAUUGGAUCAUAAACUUUUUCUAUUUUCAUUUCCUUUUCACUCACCAAAUUUAACACAACUUUAAGAAAGGAAAAGCCUAGUGCUAUUUCAUGGAUAUAACUGUAAUUCAGAUUGGGGGUAUAGUACAAGAAAAGGAAACGAAAAUCAAAAGGUUACUACUUUAGCCAGAGAAAUUGGCAAUUUCACAAGGAUAUAGCAUGGAAAACAACAGAUUUUUUAUACAAAAAAUGGGUAUGGAGACAGGAUCGACUAAUAUGCAACUGUAGAAAACCACAAACUUGAAUUCAGAAAUGCAAUAGUCCUCCAAUGUUGAAAUGCUUUUUCUAUAAGUUUGCGACCUAAACAACGCUUGUAGAGUGAUGUGAUCAGCGUAUCAUGUAACUAAAGGAAAUUUCAAAAAUAUUCAAAAGAUUGUGUCAAUAAUACGCAGAAUCACGACAAUUAACCACUCUGAUACGCAAGUGCCAAAUUCUUGAAUGCAUAGCUGGCAAAACUCAAAUCAAGAAACAAAUUGUGAACAGAGGACAAAGAUAACGAGAAAACUAACAACCUGCAAUGAAACCAAAAUUGCUUUCAGAUCAACACAGGCGGGUUUCAAUCUUCAUCCUCGCCCUCGUUCUAAGAAAAAUGAGUAGUACCUAAGUUCAUAAGCACUUCGAUCUUUGUUGGAAGAAAGAAAUCACUCGAGCCAAUCACUAAAGUUGUGUUUCUUUAUGGUAUUCUUGGUCAAGUAUUCAAAACCUGCGAUGGCACAAAGCCAAUCUAUUAACACACAACAUUACUUGCAAAGAGUCCAAAAAUAUUAGCCAGAUGUAGCCAAUAUAAUGCUUUGGCGAAUAGACAAAAAAUCAUUAGUUGUACAUCCACUCCUAUAUUUCCUACUUUAGGCAGUGUUUGGAUUCAGGAUUUUGAUGUGGGAAAGGAAAAAAGGAAAAGGAAAGGGCAAAGCAUAGAGGAUUCAAUGGUCCAAAACGGUUAGAUUGUCUAACUUUUUCAUUUUCCAUUUCCUUUUCCCUCACAGUGUUCUAAAAAUCGUCCGCCUAGGUGCUAGGACCCCCGGCACCAAGACGGCCUAGGCGCUGACCCAGCCCGCCGCCCCGCUCACACCUAACGCUUUUUAAAGAUAUAAUUUCUAAUUUUUAAGUAUAUUAAGACCUAAAUUAUAAUUUUUAUCUUCCUCUUAAUAUUAUUCACAUUAGCAUUGAAUUCUACUAUUUUUUUAAUAUUAAUUUUUUUUAUUAGAAUUUGAUACUUUGGUCAUGUAUUAUUGUUUUUUAUAAAUAUUAUUGUCUAAAUAAAUUAAAAUCAUAAUAAUAAUAAUAAAUCGCCUAAUCCCGCCUAGCACCCGCCUAAUUCUAGGCCGCCCUCCAACCGUCCGCUUACCGCCUAGCGCUCUUUAGAACACUGUCCAAUCCUUGCGCCCUAUAUGUGCCCAAGGCUUCAGUGAUAGACCUUUGUGUCUAACGAUUGUUACCAGGUGAAAAGAGUACAAAUUUGGAUGCAAGUCCGGCAAGUGUGAGUAUGUAAGCAUGCCUAUGACAAAUGUGGCACCGACAUGCGUGAGCAUGUAAGCAUGCUUGUCACAGACAUGGCACUGUCAAUUCUUCCUAAGGCCGUGUUUGAUUGACAGGAAUCUUGAGGAGGAAUAUGAAUGCUAUUUUUAAUCCCUAUAAUUUCACCAUUUGGACAUGGUAAGAAUGAGAAUCUUAUUCCCUAUCUCUCAUUUCAACGGAAUAGAAUUCCCAUGCUAAGGAGGAAUUUGAUUCUCCCACUUUACCCCAACUUAUCUAAUAUUAGAUUACUGCCUCAUCUAAUAAUUAAAAAAGAGGUUGGGACAAAUUGUUUUCUAUGAUACCCCCAACUAAGCCCACCAUUAUAAAUUAUAGAUAAAUUAGGGAAAUGAUUUCUACAUUCUUAAAAUUGAUUUCUGCACUCCAAAUUUUGUAAAAGUAUGAGUGUAGAAAUCAAUACCAAUAUGGUAUUAAUUUUUACACUCCUAUUUAGAGUGCAGAAAUCAAUUUUAGGAGUGUAGAAAUCAUUUCCCAUAAAUUAUCUCUCUAUCAUAAUUUUUAU